GCUUGUCUCAAAGAUUAAGCCAUGCAUAUCUAAGAAUAACUAACAUUAUCUUGAAUCUGUGAAUGGCUCAUUAUAUCAGUUAUAGUUUACAUGAUAGUCAAUACUACUUGGAUAACCGUAGUAAUUCUAGAGCUAAUACAUGCAUAAAGACCCGACUUCUGGAAGGGUUGUAUUUAUUAGAAUAAAACCAAUUCGUUUUCGGACGACAUUGUGGUGAGUCAUAAUAACUUAGCGGAUCGCAGAGGCCUCGCGCCGGCGACAAAUCAUUCAAGUUUCUGCCCUAUCAGCUUUCGAUGGUAGUGUAUUGGACUACCAUGGCAUUCACGGGUAACGGAGGAUUAGGGUUCGAUUCCGGAGAGGGAGCCUGAGAAAUGGCUACCACAUCCAAGGAAGGCAGCAGG
rnacentral:rRNA from 1 species